rnacentral:rRNA from 1 species
GUGAGGAAUAUUGGACAAUGGGCGCAAGCCUGAUCCAGCCAUGCGGCGUGCAGGAAGACGCAUCUAUGGUGUGUAAACUGCUUUUGUACGGGAAGAAACACUCCCUCGUGAGGGAGCUUGACGGUACCGUAAGAAUAAGGAUCGGCUAACUCCGUGCCAGCAGCCGCGGUAAUACGGAGGAUCCAAGCGUUAUCCGGAAUCAUAGGGUUUAAAGGGUCCGUAGGCGGUUUAAUAAGUCAGUGGUGAAAGCCCAUCGCUCAACGAUGGAACGGCCAUUGAUACUGUUAGACUUGAAUUACAAGGAAGUAACUAGAAUAUGUAGUGUAGCGGUGAAAUGCUUAGAUAUUACAUGGAAUACCAAUUGCGAAGGCAGGUUACUACUUGUGGAUUGACGCUGAUGGACGAAAGCGUGGGGAGCGAACAGGAUUAGAUACCCGGGUAGUCC